CCCCCCGCCCCCCCCGCUGGAAGGGGGGAUAAGUCGUACCAAAGUAGGUGUACUGGAAAGGGAACCUAUAUCGACAAAUUAGAGCUUGUUGUAAAGCAUUUUAUUUACAUUAAGAAGGUAGUUGUUUAAUCACAAUUUAAUUUGAUAAUAAUAAAAUUAUUAGUUAGUUUAAAAUAAAGUAUUUUUUUAAUUUAGUAUAAGUUUAGAAUUAUAGAGUUUAAGUGAUAGUAUAUUUGUAUAGAAAUAGAUAGUUGAAAUAUAUGAAAAUUUUAUUUUUAAAAAAAAGAAUUAGUUCUGUGUACCUUGUGUAUCAGGGUUUAUUAUAAAUAAUUUAUUUAUUUAAUAGUCUCGAAUUUUUAAGGGCUAAUAAAUUAUAUAUUUAAUUGUAAAAUAAAUUUUUAUAAUAAUUUGUUAGUAAUGAAACGUUAGUCGUUUAAUAAGAUAUCUAGUUUUUUUAGAAAUAAAUAUAAUUUAGUUAUUUAAAUGUAUAAUUUUUAUUUGUUAAGAUUAUAUUUUAAGUAUUAAAUAUUUUAAGGGAUAAGCUUUAAAAUAAAUUAUUAAAAAUUAUUUUUGUAUAAAAAAUUAAUAGGAUUAGAAAUUUUCCAUUUUUAAAUUGUUAUAAUUAAUUUUUUUUUUAUAUAAUUUAUAUAGAUUUUAAUUUUUUUAUUAAAAUGAAUUAUUUAAUAUUAUAAUAUUGGUAAUUAUGAUAAAAUUAGUAUAGUUGAUUAAUGUAUUAUUAUAUAAUGGAUUAAAGGUUAUUUUAAGGAAUUCGGCAAUAUAAAAUUUUUCGCCUGUUUAUUAAAAACAUGUCUUUUUGAUUAUAAUUUAAAGUCUGACCUGCCCCCUGAGUAUUUAAAUGGCCGCGGUAUUUUGACCGUGCAAAGGUAGCAUAAUCAUUAGUUUUUUAAUUGAAAGCUGGUAUGAAUGGUUGGACGAGAAAAUUACUGUCUUAAUUUAAUUGUAUUAAAAUUUUAUUUUUAAGUUAAAAAGCUUAAUUAAUUUUGAAAGACGAGAAGACCCUGUAGAGUUUUAUAUUUA
rnacentral:rRNA from 1 species